rnacentral:rRNA from 1 species
CCUACGGGAGGCAGCAGUGGGGAAUUUUGGACAAUGGGCGAAAGCCUGAUCCAGCAAUGCCGCGUGCAGGAAGAAGGCCUUCGGGUUGUAAACUGCUUUUGUACGGAACGAAACGGUCUGCUUUAAUACAGUGGGCUAAUGACGGUACCGUAAGAAUAAGCACCGGCUAACUACGUGCCAGCAGCCGCGGUAAUACGUAGGGUGCGAGCGUUAAUCGGAAUUACUGGGCGUAAAGCGUGCGCAGGCGGUUAUAUAAGACAGUUGUGAAAUCCCCGGGCUCAACCUGGGAAUUGCAUCUGUGACUGUAUAGCUAGAGUACGGUAGAGGGGGAUGGAAUUCCGCGUGUAGCAGUGAAAUGCGUAGAUAUGCGGAGGAACACCGAUGGCGAAGGCAAUCCCCUGGACCUGUACUGACGCUCAUGCACGAAAGCGUGGGGAGCAAACAGGAUUAGAUACCCUGGUAGUCCACGCCCUAAACGAUGUCAACUGGUUGUUGGGUGCAUUAGUACUCAGUAACGAAGCUAACGCGUGAAGUUGACCGCCUGGGGAUACGGCCGCAAGGUUGAAACUCAAAGGAAUUGACGGCUGAGACGNGCGAGACGACGACGAGGGAGGAGG